CCGCUUCUUCCUCCCGCGCCGCAGCCAGACGAAGAGGGCGAAGGCCGCCAGGAGAAGCGCUGCCGCGGCGGCGGAGGCGACUGCGGAGACUGGGAGCUGGUGGCCGCCGCGAGAUCGGAGCUCAUCAACGACGGCCGCGGCUGCGGCGGCGGGGGGUGGGGAGGCAUCGGGCGGCGGGGGCUGGCGCGAGGGCAUCAGCAGCGGAGGGGAAAAGACAAGCGGAGCAGCAGGGGGGCAGUGAUGAGCCGAAAAGUGAUUUGGCUUUUCGCCAUUCCUCAGAUGCGAGCGAGCGAGCNNNN
rnacentral:lncRNA from 1 species